GGUACUCCAUAAGUAUGUUUUUGUACUUCACCCAAUGCUUUUCCCCUUUUUUUCUGACCACAAGAGAGCCUGAGUUUGACCAAAUGCCUUUGGGGUUGUACAUUAACGCGAUGGAGCGUUCAAAAGUUAAGGGCAUUUUUGAAGCACCCUUCAUGGCAUGCCGUGAAAAAUUGUUGAACGCUCUGCCGUUUUUUUCUUUUUUUUUGGCAAUAAACCUCUUAUCCAUAAAAAAAAAAAAAAACAAAAAAGAUACAAU
rnacentral:ribozyme from 11 species